CCAAGUGGCAACGCCUGUCUGAGUGCGCCCUGGCUGCCUCUUCCUAAAGCUUCGGGCCUCUGGGAAUGUCAGGAGGGGAGAAAUCAGCUUCGGGGGCGAAAGGGGGAGUACCAACAGACUAGAGAGAGCCUUUUCCCAUUUCUCUGGGCACCGGGAGGACCUCUGGCAGAGACCUGGCCACCCAGCGCGCGCACGGACCCCGCGCGCAGUCCCCGAGACCGAGUUCUGUGAACCCGAGGAGGGUUGCAAAUUAGCCCCGAGGGAUUCUCCGGCCGCGCAGCUAGCUGCCGCUGAUUUGCACCGCUCGUUGCCUGGCGGGGGGUCCGAGGUGUGGGAGGAUAAACCAACACCAUCUCUCUCCUGGAGUGCUCUCACUACCAAGCCCUUCCGACUAAGAUUCAGAAAGGAUGAGCUUUGGUGAGAACUUGGCUCCGUCUUCCCCUGAACGCUGACAUGGGGGGCCGGAAGACAUUUUAGCUGGGAGACUUCGGGGUUCUUUUCACCUUUCGACUCUCCUAAGGGAAGAAAGACCUUUGAGUGGUGUAGAAGGUUCCGCUCCCUCAGCCCCACCCACACCACCAAUACAUUGAAGAGAGCAAUCUGUUAGCUUUAGGAUAAAUCGGACAGUGUAGUCAGCUCAGGUGGAUGAAGCAGAAACACGACUUAAUGAGGAGUCAGCCUCGUUUUUAUCCAGUGUUGAAAUGAGGUCCUGGUUCAUUCUCCUCUAAUCGUAUUUCCAAAGCACUAGACCAACAAAGGCUUAGUUGUCAAGAUAUACACACAUACACACAUACAUGCAUAUGUGGCAUUCAUGGGGAAAGGAAAACACCCAGAAGAGAAGAGGAUGCCACCAAAGCACAAGGUGGAGACUUUUCCUAAGCAUAUUCAUCUCCAUCACGGAGGUCUCUUGAAGGGGCUGUGAGGGUUGGGAAAAGCAGAGAAUGGAACUCCAUGGAGGCAUUUCCUAGCCUCCCCGUGGGGAGUAAGGAACUUUCCAAGGGAAAAGUGAGAGGCAAGAAGACUUACUGAGCUGGAUAAGGGUUUACAGGGGUUGGAGGGGCACUUUGUGUUGUAUAAGUACACAUGGCAAACUCAGUUUGGAUCUUUGCUCACCUAGGUAUUACAGUGGUUCAUUAGGUGAUUAUGAGUGUUUCCCAGGCUGGUCCUAAGACAGCCAGAGACUCGAUGAAUGGAUAAUGUGCAGCCUGUGAGAAGGGACUCCAGGCUCCCAAGUGCAGAGGUCAUUACUCUGGACACACCUUUUUCUC